GUCUUCUCCAAAAACAUAAAAGUACACAUACUGGAGAGAAAUCGUAUGAUUGUAAACAGUGUGGUAAAGCCUUUGCACGUAAUGAUCAUCUCCUAAGAAAUAAAAGAACACAUACUGGAGAGAAAUUCUUUGAAUGAAAUCAAUGUGGUAAAGCCUUUUCACAGCACAGUAGGCUCCAAAUACAUAAAAGAAUACAUUCUGGAGAGAAACUCUAUGAUUGUAACCAGUGUGAUAAAGCCUUUCACAAAACAGCUAUCUCCAUCUACAUUAACAAAUACAUACUGCAGAGAAGCCCUUUAAAUGUAACCACAGUGGUAAAGCCUUUGCAUGUCAUAGUCAUCUUCAGAAUCAUAAAAGAAUUCAUCCUGAAGAGAAACUCUAGAAAUAUUUUUAAUAUGGUGAAGCGUUUUAUCAUGAUCAUGAAGGAAUUCAUACUGGAAAGAAACCUUAUGAAUACAUUUAAUAUGGUAAUGCCUUUGCACAUUUCUGCAGUCUUCAUCAUUUGAAAGUAUUUAUAGUGGAAAGAAAUUUGAUGAAUGUAAACCAUGUGGUAAAGCCUUUGUGUGAUGGCUUCUGCUGAGAUCCAACAUACCUGAAACACCAGGUCAAAGCAAAUGAACAAGAAUUCGUUGUAAUUAAGGUGCUAGUGAUUGUUCAGGGCGACAGAACAUACUCAUAGACAUCUGUGCCAAGUCACAGCUACCUGUUCCACCAAUCCAGAUUUAGGGAUAGAGGCUUUCUUUAUGUAGUUGACCUAUGUCCCCUGAUACAGAAUGUAGGUUUUACAGCCUAACCACCAUAACCACUUGUUCUUUUGUGGUUAGCAACAGGCAUUAUGCUUUAGGGAACAAAAGAGGAAUAAUGGAAGCUGAUCAGUUAGUGGAAAGCCUCCAUCACCCCUAAGGCCUAGGAAAGUGAACUCAGUUUCUCCCUAUGAAUAAAUGGAGGAAGUAACAAAAAGGUAGUAUUUAUGGCACAUUUCUAUUGCUUUCUCCUAACAGUUGCAUACCACAUUUAUCUUCGAACAUAUAAAAGAACAUAUCCUGUAGGGAAACCCUAUGAAUAAGCAAUGUGUUAAACCUUUUCAUGUAGCAGCAGACUUAAAAAUCAUGAGAAAAGUCAUCCUACAGAGAAACCCAUAAAUGUAGCCAGUUUAGAAAUGAUACUUAAUGGUAUCUUUAUAAAAAAGUAAAACCUUUGGUGUGUAAUCAAUCUGUUAAAGGCUUUGCAUAUCAUAGUAGUCUUUGAGCAUUUUAAAGAACUCAUACUGAAGGAGACCUGUGUCUAUAAAUGAUUUUCUAAAAUCUUUAGCCAUACUCAGUUACACAAGAUUAUUCUGGAGGAUAAAAGUGGCAAGUGUCAAUAAUCUAUUCAAACAAUAUGAUGUCUGUCUUUACUUUGUUUGCACUUGCAACUCAUAUUGACAAAAGCUUAGAGAAUUUAAACUAGGUGACCAUUUUAGAUUUCAGAAUUCUCUUUCAUUAUAUCAAAUAACUCAUCCAGGUGUAAAACUUUAUGGGUGUGUAUUAGUGCCUUUGGUGUUGUUGUGAUAAAACACAAUGUCUAAGGCAAGUCAUGAAAGAGUUUAGUUUGGCUUAUGGUUCUAGAAGGAUGUGGGAUAGCCAUGAAAGUGGCAAGGCAGCAAGUGUCAUGCAUGGCAGCUAAAGCCAGGAGCUUAGAGUUCGCAUCCUCAACCAGCAGCACUUAGCAGAAAGUGUGAAGUAGAAGAGGUGUAUGGAAGUAAACUCUCAAGCCCACACAUGUGGAAUGUUUCCUCUAGCAGGGCACAAUUUCCAAAAUCAUCCCAAAUGAUAACUCCACCUGAGAAGCAUUAAUUUUUAUGACUGCAAACCUACAUGCAUGAACCAGUUGCAGUUGCAAGAACCAGUUCUGUUGCAUGAACCAAGGCUGUUGCGUAUGCAUAUGCACAGUUCAAAAUGAGGAAAAUCUCUGUCAGUUACAGGAAUAAAUGCUUACAUAAGAAAAACAGUGAGGAAUAAACUUUUGUUUCACAAAUUGUUUUAAUUUUGAUUAUGUGCUGUCAGUGUGUCUUUGUGAAUGUGAGCAUGUCAGGCUGGUUCUGAAGAAAACUGGACCCAAGCAUGUUCUUGUAGCAGGAAUUACAGAAAGUUGCCAAACACCUGACCCUCGUACUAGGAAUGAACUUGUCUUAGUUGCACAGCGAUCAUUCUUCCCUGUAAAUAGUUUGAAGCCUGGAUGUAUCAUCUUGAUGUCAGGAAGCAGGAAGAACUCAAGGAAGAGAAAAACCCUACUCAUGCCAUGACACAUAUGUGAAGACUGGGAGACAACUGUGUGGUGUGUACCUUAGCUAUCUAUAUGAUUCUGAAGGUCAAGUUACCAAGUUUGCACACCACAGACCUUGCCCACUUAGCCAUCUCAGUGAGGAUCAAAUAAAAAUAGUUGAAACAUUACACCAGUACAAUAUUGUCUUCUUUUCAGGUUGUAAACAUAUUGUCAUCCAAGGAUGGAGAAUUACAGGAUGAUUUGUGUAAUAAAACCUAUUUGCAAAUGAAAA